rnacentral:rRNA from 1 species
AAUUAUGGACAAUGGGCGCAAGCCUGAUCCAGCCAUGCCGCGUGAGUGAAGAAGGCCUUCGGGUUGUAAAGCACUUUCGGACGGAAAGAUAUCGCGCAGGCUAAUACCCCACGCGGAUUACGGUACCUUCCUAAUGACCACCUGCUAACUUCGGGACAGCAUCCGAGGUAAGUCGGAGGGUGGGAGCGUUAAUCGGAAUUACUGGGCGUAAAGCGUGCGCAGGCGGUUGAUUAAGACAGGCGUGAAAUCCCCGGGCUUAACCUGGGAACUGCGCUUGUGACUGGUCAGCUAGAGUACGGCAGAGGGGGGUGGAAUUCCACGUGUAGCAGUGAAAUGCGUAGAGAUGUGGAGGAACACCGAUGGCGAAGGCAGCCCCCUGGGCCGAUACUGACGCUCAUGCACGAAAGCGUGGGUAGCAAACAGG